CUGAUAGCAAAGCGGUCAGAACUACAACAACUCUUAAACUCACAAGUCAAGCGCAAACUACUCUGUACAAAACAUUCCUAUUACUACACAGGUAGAAAAUGCAGAUGCCUUUUGGCAUCAGUUUUGAAACAAAGCAGACAGACAACAUUUAUAGCCAAAAUUAAACACCCAGAUAAGGUACUAUCACACGCACUACCAGAUAUUAUGGUAUAUUAAAAAUCUAUUCUGAACUAUACAAUUUGAGGGACUCACCUCCAUCGACAACAGACAUAGAACACUUCCUAUCAACAAGGGUGCGUAAUAAA